CUCUAUCUUGUAUUUUAAUUAUUUCUACUUGUAAAUUCAUAUAAAACCCGCAUUGGCAAGUAAUUGCUUUUAACAAAAAUGUUCAAAUAAAAUUAUUUGAAUUUAGCAUUUUUGGAGAAGUUAUAAACUAUAUAGAUUCCUUAAAAACUACAAAGAAUAGCCGAUUACUUAAUGUUCUUUAAAUUGAUACUAUUACAAAAUUCGAAAUCGAUUUGUAUAUUCAAUUAGAAAUGUAUAAUAAUUACAGAUAAUUCUAUUACACUGUAAAAACUUAAUAAGUACUUGCGGGAAAUCGAUUUUUAAUUAGAGUGCGAGCGUGUUGCGGAAUUAGAGAAUUACUUAUGAGGAAGUCUAAGGGACGACGCCCUCACAGAAGCUGAUUGGAAUGCGGAGCAGAACAUGAGCCAGGCCGCCUUCGUUGCCGCCCACGUAACAUUUCAGGAUCAGGAUCGGAUCAGGCAUCGAGGAUAAAGGAUACAAAUGAGUUUGCAUUCGUUACACUUUGCCGCCAUUAAAUUGAAUUUCAUGUUGGAAAGGAUAUUAAGUGCAGAUCCUGGUUACCCUAAUUGUUACACAUUCUUCCCCCGUCCGCUCACGCACAUGGAGUACAAUGACUAAUUGUACGAUCUUUUUGACAGUUUGCCCUAAAGGCAAAAGAAUUCUCCAUUGUAAGGAUCAGCUGUGUAUGUGUGUGUGCUUGCGAGCAGGAUAUGAAGGAAAGAAGAAACCGUGGGAAACGAGGAGCGCACAAAAAAAGAAAGCGCAAAAGAAAAGAAAGAAAGAGCCAAACAACGGGAAAACCGAUCAAAAUCAGAGACCUAUACACCAGGCAAGGCAGUCAGGCAGUCACUCUUAGCUCAGGAUUAUUGGCAGCCAAAGGAAUUUCAGUUUUCUGAUUUCAUGUUCUAAUUUAGCGCCCAAAAACUCAACGAACCAGAACCAAAAGAAAAAAAAACCAGACUCACUCGCAGACUGAGACUGAGACUCAGACGGAGACUUGAUCGGCACUUAGGGGUUGCAAAGUGAUCGUGAGCCGCAAGUGUUGAGCCUCGGCGCAGGUUGCAUGCCACAGAAACAGAGCGGUGAAAGGUUUCAUAUUUCAUUGUGCAUUGUGCAACUGAGAUUCGAUAUCGAGAUCGAUGAGAGGGAGACGAUCGACAAUCGACUGGCAGGCAGGCAGACGAUCCUCUCGAGGCCAGGAUAAACAGUGUGUGGCUUCAGUUUGUGGCAGCAGUUUUGUGGAAUGUGAAAAUUUUAUCAAUUAAAUAUCACAAGCGACUCACGAGCGCAGCCAACGCUGCUGCUGCUGAUGAUGAUGAUCGGGCCUUGAGGUUAAGGCGUAGAUAGAGAUAGUUUCAGAGCUAGAGACAGAUAGAGCAAGAGACAUGCGAUAGAUGCACGCACAUGCAAGCGGACGGACAGACAGACAGAUAGAUGGAAAGAGGGACGGCUUGGAAAAUGUGCGCCACAUCCGCUCGCUGAAGGCUCUUUAGAUCUCGCAGACUCCGGCUUCGAGUCGACCUCGGUCUCGGUUUAUGCCAUUGGCUGCAUUUCUUGGAAAACGUUUAAAACCAGAACAAGCAAGCUGAUGAUAGAGAGAGCGAGAGCGGGACUUAGGGAGCAGGACAAGUGACUCAACUAUGCACUUGAAAAUGAAAAUGCUGUGUAAUUAAUUACGAGCAGAUCCAAAGGCAAGGGGAAGACGCGGACGUCACAGACAGACGGACAGCCGGACAGCAGUCAGUUUUACCUUAUGCCUGGGAAAUUAGAACGGCUGUUUUUAAGUGCGCUAAAAGGAAGUUAUCCUCGGUGCACAUGUCUCUCUUCCAAAUGACAAAGGAAAUGCCAAUGGAAUACCUACAUAAAAUUCGACUUUUUAUGAGUCAAGAGUUUUCAUUUCGAUCACAGCACUUUGCCAGUUUUUAUAGUAGAAAAUUCACACAACAGCUGGGCAUUUUCAUUGUGCAAUUAGAAAUUCACACGUUCAACAGAUAGAAACAUUGAAACAAUAUAUAUAAAGACUUCAUAUGAAGAGCGGAAGAGUAGAAUUGUGUGAUAAGUAAGCCAGUAAUU